AUCCUAGCCGUAAACACUGAGCACUGGAGGGGAGGGGUUUCGGCCCUUUCUCUCGCAGCGAAAGCGUUAAGUGCUCCGCCUGGGGAGUAUGGUCGCAAGGCUGAAACUAAAAGGAAUUGACGGGGGCUCACACAAGCGGUGGAGCAUGUGGCUUAAUUCGAGGCAACGCGAAGAACCUUAUCCUGGAUUUGACAUGGUCGGAUUAGCUGGCUGAAAGGUCAGUGACGCCUUCGGGUGGAACGAUCACAGGUGCUGCAUGGCUGUCGU
rnacentral:rRNA from 1 species